rnacentral:rRNA from 1 species
ACAAGGAUUCCCCUAGUAACUGCGAGUGAAGCGGGAAAAGCUCAAAUUUAAAAUCUGGCGGUCUCUGGCCGUCCGAGUUGUAGUCUGGAGAAGUGCUUUCCGCGCUGGACCGUGUAUAAGUCUCUUGGAACAGAGCGUCAUAGAGGGUGAGAAUCCCGUCUUUGACACGGACUACCAGUGCUUUGUGAUGCGCUCUCAAAGAGUCGAGUUGUUUGGGAAUGCAGCUCAAAAYGGGUGGUGAAUUCCAUCUAAAGCUAAAUAUUGGCGAGAGACCGAUAGCGAACAAGUACCGUGAGGGAAAGAUGAAAAGCACUUUGGAAAGAGAGUUAAACAGUACGUGAAAUUGCUGAAAGGGAAACGCUUGAAGUCAGUCGCGUUGUCCGGAACUCAGCCUUGCUUUUGGCUUGGUGCACUUUCCGGAUGACGGGUCAGCAUCGAUUUUGACCGUCGGAAAAGGGCUGGAGUAAUGUGGCACCUCCGGGKGUGUUAUAGACUCUGGUCGCAUACGGCGGUUGGGAUCGAGGAACGCAGCGCGCGCCGCAAGGCAGGGGUUCGCCCACUUUCGCGCUUAGGAUGCUGGCAUAAUGGCUUUAAACGACCCGUCUUGAAACACGGACCAAGGAGUCUAACAUACCUGCAAGUGUUUGGGUGGUAAACCCGAGCGCGUAAUGAAAGUGAAAGUUGAGAUCCCUGUCGUGGGGAGCAUCGACGCCCGGACCAGACGUUCUCUGACGGAUCCGCGGUAGAGCAUGUAUGUUGGGACCCGAAAGAUGGUGAACUAUGCCUGAAUAGGGUGAAGCCAGAGGAAACUCUGGUGGAGGCUCGUAGCGAUUCUGACGUGCAAAUCGAUCGUCAAAUUUGGGUAUAGGGGCGAA